AAAAAUUUGAACCCUAUCAUCUUUUUCUCCAUUUGAUUAAUCUUACAUCAUGACGAGAUCCAAAAGGGUUGGAAAACAAAUGAAACAAACCAUUAGACGCUUCCUCCACCUUCCUCUGGCAAAGAAAUGGAUUUGGAGCUCGAAUAUCAAUGAACCCGUUGGAGAAAUCACCCAUUUUGAUAGGUAAAAAUGUUGCUUUUGUUGAUUUUUUAAUGAAGCACCUGCAUUUCAUCUAGAAGAUUUUUGAAAAUAUGGGGUGGGUAUCGGUCGCCACUAUGGAAGAACCCGUAUACCCAUGCCUAAUGAAAAAAAAUUAUCAAAAAAUACACGUUGCGCCUCAUUUCAACGAGAUUACAUGUCAAGUUAAAAAUGUACACAUCACGAUCACGAAAGCAUUAACUUGUGAUAUUCUCGAGCUCGAACCGUGUGACUUACAAAUCUUCUUUAUAAAGCUCAACCUACUUUAGACGGCUAUAAUCCUUCCAAGGUAUGUCGUCAAGUCAUCGGGAAGAACAUUGAAAAUAUCACCAAAUUAAGUGCUAAUCAAUUGAGUCUUCCAUGCUAAAUUUUACAAAAUAUUAUCCCACAUAUCAAUUUUCCAUGAAAACGUCAUUGAGACGAAGUGAAUAAUUUCAAUCUCUUCAUUCUUGAUUCAUUUUUCGUUGGGCAAAAACUUGAUUUUCCAACUAGGACUUAUGACACUUGUUCAUUCAUUACGUCACGCUAAAACUUUAUCCUACGAAAUGCUUCUCAAAAAUUGUUAAACAUUUCAACGUCACACUAAUUGACGAAACUAGGAGCUAAUUACCUAGAUAGUCACUAAACUUUGCCAAAAGUUCCUAAGAGGUCACUGAACUUCAAAACUUUCCUAAAUAGUCACUGAACUUUGCCAAAAGUUCUCAAGAGGUCAUUGAAUUUUAAAACUUGCCUAAACAAUCAUUGAACUUCGCAAAAAUUUCCUAAGCGCUCACUCAACUUUAAAAAUUGUGACCUCAUACAUCACUGAUUUGGUGAUCUUCUUGAAAUUUUUUGCAAAGUUCAAUGAUUAUUUAGGAAAAGUUCGAAGUUCGGUUAUCUUUUGAAAACUUUUGGCAAAGUUCAGUGACAAUUUGGGGAAUUAACUCGAUGAAACUAGUGUUAAACUUUGCCCUAUCGAUACUAUCAACAUCCAAACUCUUAAAUGGAUGAAGAUUUUGAGGAACAUGGGCAACGGGUGACGCACCAGAAGGGUUCGACCUCUCCUUGGGUCCCUUGACUCUACCUUUUGAGGAUGAUGAAGAAGAGGAAGGAGAUGAUGUACCACCUAUUCCGAGUCCUCCUCAGCACAUAUCAGGCUCUAGUGCUCCUAGUCCCUCGGGUAGCGGCUUCACGUUUAUUGAGGAUCAAUAUAAUAUCCUAAAUGGGCACAUCAAUUGCUACAACUUUAAGGUUGCAAACCCAAGUGCAGGUUGUCACAAGUAGUAAAUCUCGGAAGUCCGAGGUCGAACCACAGGGAAUUGGAAGGAAAUAAACUAUUCUGUGAGUAAUGAACGGUUGGUGAAAAUACGAUUGAGACGAACACUAGAGCAUCGGGGAUUCACUUCGGAUAAAUGAGUAGAAAUUGCACUUGAUCUUUAAUUUAACUCAUAUGAAAAUCAACUAAGGAGUGAUCUCAUAUGGAAGAUAAAACAUUAACCACAAAUAUACUAAAAGAUAGAUCUUGAUAAUUGUUUGAGAGAAUAUGUCAAAAUAAGUUGUUGGUAUGUAGAGAUUAUCUAAACAUUUAUUGUGCCAAAAUUGUCAACAAUAAAUCAAAGUCUUUAACAAACCAAAACCAUUUGUAGAACAUAUACUUCAACCAAGUAAGAAGAUGAACAUUGAAGAACAAAAUGAAAGAUCAAAGACAAUACUAAACAUUCAUCAAAGUUUCACCCUUAGCUCUAGCUAAAUGUUUAGAAAUACAUAGUGAAAUGUUACAAAGAAAAUGAAGGAAACUAGAAUAUAAUGGAGAGGAUUUGAUUCCCUCAAAAUCGUGGCCAAGGUCCCCUUUUAUAGGCAAAGGAACAUCCAAAAUUCAAGUAGGCAAUGCAACUUGUUUCUGUCCAGCUUCAAGACAGCUGGAACAUACAACUUGAUGCCAAUUUUCAGAUACAUUUUGCAGCGAAUUUGGACUUAUGAUCAACAUAAAAAUUAUUACCACUUGAGUUAGCUUUCCAUUGGUUCAAAUAUCAGGUUCAUUGGAUCUAUAUAACUCCAGAUAUGACAAAAACAAUAAGUGCUGCUUCACAGGUAAAGCUGUAUCCGGCAGGUAACAAGCUGGACAUUGCACGAUAAUUUUGGCUGCCUUGUGUUACGAAUUUGAUUUCUUUCAAAACAUGAAAGUUGUAGAAACGUUCCUUAUCUUUCCAACGCAACUUGAAUCACCUCGAUCCAAUGUCUGUAGCUCAAGUUAUAAUUAUUUUACCAACAGCUGCUUCUUGC
rnacentral:lncRNA from 1 species